GGGAGCCACCACAGAAUGAAGCCAAUGUUAUGUUUAGAAAACAACAGCACGUAUUCUGUAUGCUUUUUAGGAAGGGCUUUCAGAAAGAGGGGACACUGAUUUCUUUGUGAAAUCUCCUCUGUGAAAACACUAUCUUUUUACUGAAUUGCAAUGAUUUUGCUUGAUGUAUCUGCCAGGUAAGUAUUCUAAAGGCUAAAGCUUUGAAUUGUUGACAAAUUAGCUUUCAUUAUGUGCUUUAGUCACUUGACAAAAUUAUCCUAAUAGAUGUAUCUGCAUCAGAUACAAAUUUUGUUCUCAGUUCAUCACAGACAGGAGAUGUUACAUCUGUCUGAAAAUGAAAGGAAGAUAUAAUAAACAUUAAUUUCCCAUUUUUAGAAAGCAUUUGAAGAUGUUUAUUUACGUUUAUAUACCAAUUUGGGUGGCUUACCUUCAUUUAAAUGGAAUAAGAACUGAGGGGGACAGAAGAGAAGGACUGUUGCAGCCGACAAAGCAUGGUGACCCAGCUUGUCACCCAGUGACCUGUGAGAAGGAAAUAAUGAACUUGCCUCCUAACUAGUUCAGAACUCGUCCAGAUGAAGUUAAAGAAAGGGACUGAGCAUGUGAUACCAAUCAUUGCUCAUGACUGAUGUGUGAAAACUUUUUCUCUGGAUGCUAAUUGUGAGACCAUUCUGUGGUAAGGACAACUAAAUAAGCUAUGGUAGGCUCAAUAUAUUGAGUUUUGUAUGGGGAAAGCAAAGUACUGUGUAUAGACGUUUUUCUCUUUUUCUGAGAGUUUCAAAAAUAUGUUUGCUGUCAGAAAGGCUGAGGUUUUUAAUCUAGUAUGAGUGUGUAUAUUCUGGAAAACUAGAUUUGAGAAAAUAGGUAAGGAUGUUUCUUAUGGCUCAGUAAGGAUGCUGUCAAAGUUACCACUGGUAAAUAAACUUCACACAUAUUCAGCCUGGAAAUAAAAC
rnacentral:lncRNA from 1 species